rnacentral:rRNA from 1 species
GUAGGGUGCAAGCGUUAUCCGGAAUCAUUGGGCGUAAAGAGCUCGUAGGCGGUUCAGCAAGUCGGCUGUGAAAUCCCGAGGCUUAACCUCGGAACUGCAGUCGAUCCUGCUGUGACUAGAGUCCGGUAGAGGAGAAUGGAAUUCCCGGUGUAGCGGUGAAAUGCGCAGAUAUCGGGAGGAACACCAGUAGCGAAGGCGGUUCUCUGGGCCGGUACUGACGCUGAGGAGCGAAAGCGUGGGGUAGCAAACAGGAUUAGAUACCCUGGUAGUCCACGCCGUAAACGUUGAACACUAGGUGUGGCGUUCCGACCAACGGGUGCCGUGCCGAAGCUAACGCAUUAAGUGUCCCCGCCUGGGGAGUACGGCCGCAAGGCUA